rfam:Rattus norvegicus chromosome 6, whole genome shotgun sequence.
GGGGAUUUAGCUCAGUGGUAGAGCGCUUGCCUAGCAAGAGGAAGGCCCUGGGUUCGGUCCCCAGCUCCG